GCGCCCGUAGCUCAACGGAUAGAGCAUCUGACUACGGAUCAGAAGGUUGGGGGUUCGAAUCCCUUCGGGCGCGC
rnacentral:tRNA from 6 species